GAAGAGUGGAUGAGUGAAUAGGUACAGGGAUGGGUGGGUUAAUGGAUGGUGGUUGUAUCAAUGGUAGAUAGAAGAAUGGCUAGUCGUAUGGAUAGAUGAAUGGGUGGGUAGAUGGUAAAUGAAUGGGUGGAUAGGUAGAUGGGUGAAUGGGUAAAUAUAGUGAUGAGUCAGAAAAUGGACAAUGUGUGGGUGGAUGGGUGGGUAAUGGAGGCCUGCAUAGAUCAAUGGGCAAAUGGCUGCUCAGAUAGAUUGGUAGGUGAUGGCUGACAGAUGGAUGGGUGGAAGGAUAGAUGGACCUGAGGGUGGGUAGAUGGAUGAUGGGAUGGUAGGGAGUAGAAUUAGCCCUUAGGCCAAUGCUGGCAAGGAUGAGGGCUGUGUGAGAUGAUUCUGGAAGGGAAGCCAGGGACCCCAAGGACAGAGUUUUGUUGUGCAUAGCUAGUGAACUCCGCCAGAGGAGCCAAGCUAUAGCAUGGGCUUGGAUUUUGGUUUAGCCUUGUCAGCCUCGUGACCAGGCCUCCUCUCUCCCUCCCUGCUCCAGCCUGUCAAGAACAUGAGUGCUUGCAGGAUGAGAUAAGUUUCUAUGGAGAUUGGAUAGAGGCUCUUAGAAUUCACUUUUCCCUCAGUCCUAGAACCCAGAACCACAUGAUGUCCUCCCCACACUCCACAAAUGUCAGGUUACAAAGUAAGUUAGGAUGGAGGUUGCUGGGUGUCCCAUGAGCUCCACAGGUGAGUGAUACGGACCAGCAGCUGCAGGCAUGGAAGAGCUUCACUCAGCCCCUGUCCUGAGGAGGAAGGAUUAAGGGGGCUGCCAGCGGCUGCUCAGAGAGCCCCUGGCAGGCUCCAGACUGAGUCACAGUGAGUCACAGCUGUCACUUCCUACCACACAUUCCUUCAUUCAUAGUGUCCAUCCGCUGUGGCCACAUCCCUUGGCCAGUUGUAAGCAUGGGGGGUACUCGACCUGACAGAGUGAGAUGGUACGCCAUCCCAGGACGGGAGCCUUCUCCUGCCUGGCAGAUCUGUGACUACUGCUGAGCCACACUUGCCUGAUGCACGUGGAAGGUCCCUUCCUCCAGGAGGCCUCGGUUGAGACUUGGGAAAGCUCAUUGGGGCAAAAAGGAAAAUGACUCACCUUUCCCCCCAGCCCCCACCCCUAGCUCUGUCCUCAGAAUGUCCCUGGCUUUGUUAUGGCGGAACAGCCCAUCUUAACAGAGGGCAUUCCGGCUCACUCCCUGUCCGGGCAACCUUAGUAUUCAGUAUGGCUACAUCUCACAUGUAGGCCUCCAUGCCCCUGGAGGCAGCUACUCCAUGGGCUGCACGACACUUCUGAUCCUUUAUCCCUCCCAGCAGUGCCCGUGGAUGACCCUCAUCUCACUAACAAAGCUUCCCUUAGGAAUGGUGGCAGAUGCGACCGGAAGACAGUUCUAGUGAGGUCAGCAGCUAGCCAAGCCUGAGCAUAGGUGAUGUCGAGACUCCACCUCCUCGUCCCGCUCUCCCCUCGCUCACCCCGCCUUGCUUCUCCUCUUGUUCUCUGGCCCCAGCUACCACAGCCUCUAUGCUGAUGUUCACACUGUGGGGGCUGUUUCCUACCCACAGUUUUGCAUGUGUUGCAGUCAGAAUCACAGUUUCCUCCGUGGCUCUCUCAGGUGCACUCCUCAGGGGUAGCCUGCUGGUACUCUUCCUGCCCUGAGAUGUCCCAGAGAAGCCUGGGUGACGUGCUGAUGUCAAUCUUGUGGAUUGCUGUGUUUUGUCAGCCACUCUGCUGCGGCUGUGGGGAUGCUGCUCUCUGCUCAGGAUGUCAACAGACACAUGCUGAACCAAAGGUAGAACGUCCCCCAGGGCUUAAAGUAUCACCUACAUCGUACGUACGUAUACGGUUUCCCUAGGGGCGAGACCUGGCUUUUCGUGAAGCCAAGAUUCAGGCAGUGACCAAGGUCCCUGCCGAGGGACUGGAAACAGGAGAUGGAGAACAGUAUAGACUCAGACAUCCCAUGUAGGCCAAUAUCUGUGGGCUCAGGGUGGGGCUUCGGGGAGCUGCAGGGUACCAAGGUAUGCGGGGAGGAUCUCACAGGCCUUUGCUCCACCCUGAAGACCCCUGUGAAGCUGGUGGGAGCAGGAAGUGAUGCUGUCAGUGUCCUCUUUGAAAGAAAUCCUUUGUGGGAAGACAAUUGGGGACGGAGCAGAACUCGGAGGUACAACAUGGACCUGAGGUCCAAGGCAGACUCCAGUCAUUGAGCUUGGUCACCAGGUCCUCUUAGGUCCUCAGGCCUGCAUCUGGGACAACUCUGGGAGGAGGUGCUCAACAGGUGUCGUGUUGGGAACAAUAUGAGCUGCUUGGGGGGUCUACAGGAGCCAGACAGGACCCUGGCAGAGGCUCUUAAUGCAAAGCCGAUCUUGGCUGCAGAAGACAAUCUGGGGGUUCCACUGUGCAUACAAUUACUACACAAGCAAGAUAGGGGCCCUCUAGAAGGAACAUCUAGGGCAGCAAGAGUUGGUGGCUGGUCCACCUAUAGCACCUGUUGUCUGCUGGUGCCUUCGGAAGUAAGAGAUCAGUGCUUAGGAGUCCUUUCUUCGAUGUGUCUGAUUUCACAGUGGGUGACUGAGGCCAGCUGGCCAUGGCUUUUUACUAGAAGAGAAUGUAUCGAUUUUGGAUUCCUUCCCAUGAGUCAAGAGGAAGCAAGCUGACAGGAUUUGGACUGUAGAGAACAUUCCUUACCACCUUACCAACUCUAGCCUGCUUUGGAUCCUCUUGGAAAACCACAGGGAGCCUGGGAGGAGCCUGGGGCUAGACAAGGACAGCAGGGACCCACGGCCUCAUCCCAGCUAUGCUGGAAGCUCUGUGUGUUAUUGUGUGUGUUUGGGGCCAGGGGAGGACAGCAGGUGUCUCCCAGAUCUGGUCGGUCAUUCGUCCCCAACUGCCUGCUCAGUCACCCUGCAGUUCUUAAGUGAAUUCCCUAACUCCAUGUACCCAACAAUACCAGUAAAUCCAGGACCAUCUCUGGCUCGAAAAUCUUGGUAUGAUGGAGUCCUAGUCACAACUAUGCUGGUAUCUGUUGAUCCCAUGCCUUGGGUUACAAUGGCUGCAUACUAACUCACCAACUGCAAACCCCUGGGGUGGAGGCAGAAGCUCAGAGAGGUUUAGUGACUCAUUUGAGGGCACACAUCCAGGAAGGCACAGGCAGAGCCCAUGCAUGGGUAGAGACUGGAGCUCCAAGCUGGCCGAGGGUCCUACCUGAUAAGGAAGAAGAAGGGUCCCCGUCUGCCACUGAUGACGCCAAGGGAAGCAGAGACACAAAUGAUGAAGGAAGAUGAGAAGACAGAAAGUAGUGUAGAAAAAGACGGCCAAGGAAGAGUUGCAGAGAGAAGCCAGGGGCUGUGUUAGAGCACCUGGAUCCAGCUGUGCCUGAAGACGACAUGAUCCAUCCACCCUGAAGCUGAGUCACACAAGCCACAUGACAGCCUCUGUGAUUUGGUGUUUUCCAACCACUGAACUGCCAUGACACUAUCAUCAAACUCAACCAGGAUGCAUGUGGAGACCAGUCUUUGAAUCCUGAGUCUGUUUCCCUGACCUAUGAUCUUCCUCACACAAAUAAGAACACCUCCUCAUGCUAACUGCCUGAGGUGGGAGACCGGCUAGCAAUCAGCCAAGUCCUCCAACUUUACCCCUGGCACACGCUGCCAUUUUUUCAUGUGUAUGCAUGUCUACAUGUGCCUGAUGUUGGGAAUCAUCCUCCAUCGUUCUUCCACCUUGUUCCCUGAAGCAGGGUCUCUCAAUCAAUCCCAGAGCUCACUGAUAUGAGCAAUCUCACCAGCCAGCUUGCUUUGGGGAUUCCCCUGCUUCUGCCUUUUGAGGCUGGAACUACAGGUGGACUGUAACUUGUGCCUGGUAUUUAAACGGACUCUUCUUUGAACAGCAGCAAAAAGCUGGGAAAACUUUAGAUACUCAGUUAUUAAUAUCCAAGCUCCCAUCCUCACACUGGUGGGACACGAGCUUUCAUCAUGGUGGUAUGUCCUCAGCCCUGUUCUUGUUUGCUAAUUUUAAAAAUGUUUUAGGUCUUCACGCUCCAGAUAAAUCUGAGAAUUAGCUCUUCAGUUUUUCCUGGGGUUCGGUUGUAUCUACAAACUUGAAAAUAAUAGACAUCUCAAUAACGAGUCUUCAUUACAUCUGGAACUCAUCUCUGGGAUGUUUCCUAGUUUUCAGGAUGGAUUCUUGACUGUCUUUUCUUAAGAUUAGUCCUGUGGUUUGUGUGUGUGUGUGUGUGUGUGUGUGUGUGUGUGUGUGUGUGUGUGUGUUUCGUGUUGUUUUCUAAAUGCAAUACCUGAUAUUAAAGCUAUUUCAAUUCUUUUUGCCACUGCUCAAAUAAGAUUCUGUUUGCUUCUGGGCUCUCCACUAUUCUGGGCCCCCGCCCCCUCCCUGCUUGUCUUAUUGCAAUGGCCAGGAUCUCCAGUUUAGUGCUGACUGGAAGUGGUUAAAGCACAUAGGCACUUCCCCUUUUGCUUGGUCUCAAGGAGAAAAGUUUGACUGUGUCAGGUCUACAUUCUCCUGAGUGAAGUGUGAUGCAGCUAGGCAGAAGGAGCUGUGGGCCUCACACUUUGCCGUGGAACAAGACCCUUGGGUGAACCUUGACAGGUGUGCACCAAGGAACAUGGCUGUAUCACUCAGGUUUCCUCAGAUACAGAUAAGACUGCACUCUGAGCUGUGGGGCUAUGGAGGCUGAGGAGUUCCCUCACCUGAUGAUUCCAGACCAGGAUGCCAAGAGGGGCAGGGUAUCCAAAGGCCAUGACAAAACAGAGAUAGAAGAGAUGGCGACCUGCUUUGUCAGAACCAGACGUGUAAAUACCAAGCACUUUGAUGACAACCUCUCAGAUGCUGUACAAGUUGCAUCUGAGCUGCUGCCUGGACAGCUCAAGCAACCGUGAAUGGUCAACUCUCACACCAGAAACUCAGAGGAGGACACACGUGUGCUCCUAGGCCUCUCCUACGUGCAAUGGGCACUGUGACCACGUGAUCACCUAUUUAAAUACAGUUGUCUUGCCUGUUCCUGGGUCAUCUCAGCAGAGCCACAUGAGGUGUUGUUACUGCCUGGCAUCCAUCUUCCAACCAGAAUGUCUACAAAAUAUUAGGACUGUGAAGACAGCUUAUUUUUGGUUGGUACCACAUCCUGUGAGCACGUCCCACCCUGCAGUCACAUCAACUGCCGAGAGACGGCUGGGUUGUCUCCCUUGCAGGGCACCAGGCCAGGCCAGUUAGGAGCCACACAGGAUUGAGAGUUGACAAAUAUCUCUCUCCAAGUCACAGGGCUUGACUCAAAUCCUAGCUGUGCCAGCAGGCAAAUGACUCAACUUCUUGGAGCCACGAUUUCCUCUUCCAUGAAGUAGGCACAGAAGGCAGAAGUUAUUCAGAGGCAUGAGGCAUGGACAUCACAGAGCACCCAGCUGUGAGCAUCCGUGCCAGCGGCAGAACUGUCACAGUGGGUAGGGGGCAGCUCUGAGGGUGGGUGCUGGGGUUAAUGCUGGACUGGGUUUACAGAGAUGUUAGAAGAUACCCUAACAACUUUUUAAUUAUUUAAUCUUA